UGUGAAGAAGUAGGGAGGGUUGGCAGCAUUGGGUAUACUGGGGGGUCUUGCCUCCAGUGAUGCACCGAAUGGUCUGAUGGUCCAACGGAACCUGGUGUCACAUCUCUCCUCUCCUGUGUUGUCACAGUUGCCAGAUUUGAAAGCUCAGUGCUAUCCCCGUUCAAUUCUUUCCUGAGCUCUACCACUCCUCUGCUGUCUCCAUAGGUGGUCAGGUCGAUAUCCAGUAAUAUUGCUGGUGGGAUCCCCAGCCGAUACAGAAUCUGAAAGUGCUAAGGUAUGUUGGAGAUAAAAAGAAAUCUGAGUGGGGCAAGCACUGGAUCACCAAAGGAUUUGACAGUUUGGAGCUGGUGCUUCAGAAUACGGCUGGGAAGUAUUGUGUGGGGGAUGAGGUGAGUGUUUACAAUGGCCACUUUACCUUUGCUCUCUUGGCAGGGUCUCCGUGGGGAACAAGGUACGGUGGACCCCUCGUCUCAUCAAGGUACUCGAUAAUGGCCAGCUGGGUGGGUGAGGGGAUGAAUGUGAGUGAUAGUAAUAAAUGAGCAGUUAACGUACAGACUCUGUGAGGACUAGUCCGUCUAUCUCCAAGGUAAGUACCACACACUGAGGGUUCAAAGCUUUGUACGAGUCUGUAAACUGUCAAAAAAGUCUCAUAAUUAACAUAAAUCAUAAUUACUAAUUACCUGCUGUCCACCAUCUUUCACCAGAUGAACAGCCUUGUACUCGUACUCUAUACCUUUUAGCGCAAGAGCUGCACUGAACAAGAUAACAUUGAAACAGGGGCCGUGGGCUUGACCAUGUCUAGGGGGUGGACCAGUAAUUAUUAGGUAGCUAGACUGUUAACCCUCUCACCAAAUCUCACUCUCCAGGAGCAGGAGCUGGGGUCAAACAAGUGGAGGAUGGGCUGGAGAGGGGUGAACGGGUGCAUGUAGGGUCUAUUGUCACUGUGGAUUUCAAGAGGUGUUCCAAGGAUCUCUAACCUAUCUUUAGAGCUUUAUUGCUGACUCAAUGAACAAUCAUGAUCACGAUUAGUUUCCUUACAUUCUUGAUUUUGUUCACAAUUGACUCACAUUCACAACAUCACAACAUAU